UGCUUCACGUGACUUUUGAGUUAUAGCUGACUGCCCUAGCUCACAUUUUAGUGCCAGAAGAUCCCAGACCACCACCCAUGAUCCCAGGCUGGAGGAAGCAGCAGGCUAGCGGAAUUCAGGACCAAUGAGCCAGGAAAGAGGACCCAAUGCAGAGCUCACAUCCCACCCUCCUUCCCCCAUGACAAAGCACUGGCAAACCCUGCCAAAGAAGAAGCUUGGCUGCAAAGCAGUCUGGAACUGGACCCGGGAUAGAUUCACCAGGAGCUCACCACCACAGGGAAUGCUGCACUUUGACUGGACAGAAUGCAUCCUCCAUGCCCACAGAGCAUGUGCCCAGGAUGAAUCUCACUGUAUCCCAGUUCCUCAUGCUUGGCCCCAAACCUCUUUUUCACAGUAAUAAAGAAAACACACUUUACAAAAAGGCAGUUCAUCUAUGAACAUAUUGGCUAGGAUAACACAUCUUAGAGCUAAAUGUGUCACUGUAAAUGGACUCAUUUUAUAUCUCCACAUACUGUAGAUGUUUAAAAAAAGGUACAUGCACAGAAACUAUGGGAAC
rnacentral:lncRNA from 1 species